rnacentral:ribozyme from 1 species
AAAAAAGAAAAGAAUAAAAUAAAUAAGCACGCCCUGAAGAGCCAAGUAGAGACUCUUUUCCUGCACUGCAUGAUGCCGUCGUGUUCAUUUUUAUUUCCUUCUUUUCAUUUCCUUUUUGUGUGUGCUUUUGUGCUUUCCCUCCAUUUUUAUU